GAUACUGAAAAGAACAGAACUGUACACUUUAACAUCUGUUUAUUUAUCGCAAGUAACAUUGUUAUCGGGAUCUUUAACAACGUUAUCGCAUAUUUCCCUUCGUUGUGU